GGGAGGCAGCAGUGGGGAAUAUUGGACAAUGGGCGCAAGCCUGAUCCAGCCAUGCCGCGUGAGUGAUGACGGCCUUAGGGUUGUAAAGCUCUUUUACCUGGGAAGAUAAUGACGGUACCAGGAGAAUAAGCCCCGGCUAACUUCGUGCCAGCAGCCGCGGUAAUACGAAGGGGGCUAGCGUUGUUCGGAAUCACUGGGCGUAAAGCGCACGUAGGCGGAUUCUUAAGUCAGAGGUGAAAUCCCGGAGCUCAACUUCGGAACUGCCUUUGAUACUGGGAAUCUCGAGUCCGGAAGAGGUAAGUGGAACUGCGAGUGUAGAGGUGAAAUUCGUAGAUAUUCGCAAGAACACCAGUGGCGAAGGCGGCUUACUGGUCCGGUACUGACGCUGAGGUGCGAAAGCGUGGGGAGCAAACAGGAUUAGAUACCCCUGGUAGUCCACGCCGUAAACGAUGGAUGCUAGCCGUUAGGCAGCUUGCUGCUUAGUGGCGCAGCUAACGCUUUAAGCAUCCCGCCU
rnacentral:rRNA from 1 species